UUUUAUUAUGGGACAUCCUAAUAUUUUAAGAAAUCAAUUUUGUGAACAGGGCACUGUUUGCACAGUCCGCUUUAAUUUUGAUGAAAACUAUUGCAUAACCGGUGGAUCUGAUAAUUCAUUGAUAGAUUCUUCGUAAAUCAUCGAUCUUGAAGACUUAUAUGGGACUUGGAUGUAAAGUCUUAGAAGUUUAAUCUUCAGCUAAUAGAUCACAUACAGCAAAGGACAAAAGCAUUUUUUAUUGGGAUGUUAGUACUGCUGAAAUAGUAAGAAACUUUAAAGGUCAUGCUGUUUAGGUUAUGAUGAUGCUACAAAGUUCAAUGAAGAAUCUCGUUUUACUAUCUGUUUCAGUUGAUAAUACUGUUUGUGCUUGGGAUUGCCAUAGCAAGUCUUGCGAGCCUAUUCAGUUUUGUCAGCGAAAGGUCCUUUGAAAAUUUUCAAAUUCUGGCAUAUAAGUAACAGUUGAAGUAAAUUGUUGAGAUAGAGGAAACUUUUUAUCUUGGUAAGUAUUUUUGAACUACAUUAUAAUUCAAUACAUUUCCUGUUACUCAUACUUAUAGAUAUAGUUAUAAUUUAUUUGAAGAGAAAUACUAUAAUAGAAAAAAG